rnacentral:ncRNA from 1 species
GCGAGCCGUAUACUCUGAGAGGAGUACGUACGGUUCUGAGGGGAGUUCUCGGAAACCUACUGUAGAAAUACGGAAAGGCGCUGGGUUCUUACCCUAC